rnacentral:tRNA from 1 species
GGGAUGAUGGUGGAAUCGGUAGACACAGCAGACUUAAAAUUUGCCGCUCGAAAGAGCAUCCGAGUUCGAGUCUCGGUCGUCCCA